UUUCCGUAGGUGAACCUGCGGAAGGAUCAUUAUUGUAUAACCGAGGUGCGAGGGCUGUCGCUGACCCGAAAGGUCGUGCACGCCCGAGUGCCCUCACACACAUCCAUCUCACCCCUAUGUGCACCACCGCGUGAGUCCCCCUUUGGCUUGUUCGGAGGGGGGCUUACGUUUUCACACAAACUUUGUAUGCAGUGUAGAAUGUAUUUUUUGUUUUGCGAUCACGCAAUCAAUACAACUUUCAACAACGGAUCUCUUGGCUCCC
rnacentral:misc_RNA from 1 species